GUAGGGAAUAUUGCGCAAUGGGGGAAACCCUGACGCAGCAACGCCGCGUGAGUGAGGAAGGUCUUCGGAUUGUAAAACUCUUUUAUUAGGGAAAAAUGUCUAGGUGGCUAAUAUCCACUUAGAGUGAUGGUACCUAAGGAAUAAGCACCGGCUAACUUCGUGCCAGCAGCCGCGGUAAUACGAAGGGUGCAAGCGUUGUUCGGAAUCAUUGGGCGUAAAGCGCGCGCAGGCGGGUCAGUAAGUCAGGUGUGAAAUCUCGGAGCUCAACUCCGAAACUGCGCCUGAAACUAUUGGUCUAGAGUAUCGGAGGGGACAGGGGAAUUUCACGUGUAGGGGUAAAAUCCGUAGAGAUGUGAAGGAACACCGGAGGCGAAGGCGCCUGUCUGGACGAUUACUGACGCUGAGGCGCGAAAGCGUGGGGAGCAAACAGGAUUAGAUACCCGUGUAGUCC
rnacentral:rRNA from 1 species